AGUCGAGUGACACUGCGCCGAAAAUGUACCGGGGCUAAACAUAUUACCGAAGCUGUGGAUUGUCCUUUGGACAAUGGUAGGAGAGCGUUCUAAGGGCGUUGAAGCAUGAUCGUAAGGACAUGUGGAGCGCUUAGAAGUGAGAAUGCCGGUGUGAGUAGCGAAAGACGGGUGAGAAUCCCGUCCACCGAUUGACUAAGGUUUCCAGAGGAAGGCUCGUCCGCUCUGGGUUAGUCGGGUCCUAAGCUGAGGCCGACAGGCGUAGGCGAUGGAUAACAGGUUGAUAUUCCUGUACCACCUAUAAUCGUUUUAAUCGAUGGGGG
rnacentral:rRNA from 1 species